CUACCAUACAAGAACAUGAUAUAAAAUAGCAGGAUGAAAUGGCAAUCAGAAGAGGAAAUUAGUUUUUUCCAAGCAAGGGUAAUGUUAUAACCCUGUGUAGCUCCAGGGGAGAUUGCUCUCCCACAUUGCUUCCUCCAGGACUGUUUCGAGUUUUGGUUUUCUAAAAGGGGGUUUCCGUAUGGAAAUUCAGUGAAGAGUAGAGUAAAAUUAGCCAAGUGCACAGCAAGAAGUGUAUGAAGUGUCACAGUGUAGGUGAACAGAAUAACAAGACAAUAGAUAUACACUCUUUUACAUGGGCGUCUGUUGCUUUCUGCAACAGUGAUGUUAGCCACCUGUGUUAGGCCUCUGCGCUCACUGACCAAUAGCCUGAUCAGGGCCAAAUGACUGCAGACGCACACCAAUAUGAUGAGCAGCAAAAUGGCGUCUAUUCACUACUAAACACAGCUUAUAUAUAUUUUUACCUAAACAACCGUGCUGUCCUGUCCCACCCUGAUUGGUUCGCACCAGAUAACAUUGUGCCUUAUUUGGCCGUUUCCACAUUCUUUCCCAUCUUUCUUCUUCUCCUGUUUUCUCUGCAUCAAGGUCAGCACGAUAGCACUAUCUCUCUAUGUUUAGGGAGAGGCCUGUCCCGUACAUCCCGUGCCCCCGCAAGACGCCUACUACAACAUCUCCCCUUCCCUAAGCUAAAUACUACUUACACACACACCUAACCCGUACAUCGCGAAGCAGCGCAAAACGCCUAAUCCUAAAUAUAUUUCAGCACACUAUUCCUACUAUUUUCUACUACAGUUCUUAAGCAAUCAUCAGAGCAACAGGGAAUUCUUUUCCGUGCUCGGCCAAGCCUUGCCCCGUUACAGCACGAACGCAACAACCUAAACCCCUCUAUAAUUUUUCACGCAAUCUAUGAUACUCAAUGUGAUAGUCAAAAGUCUUGUCCAUCAUUCGUUGAAGGCAAGCAUCCUACAAAGCAUGGAAGACAGAUUAGAAUACACACAAAGAUUGCAAAUCCUACUGCGAGAGCUUUAAGCAAUUGCUUUAACCAUGAACCCGUUCCCCCAAACAGUCCGUCCAGCCAGCUUCCAAAGGGAUCACUUUAAUCUUCUGCAUAUGUUCUUGCGUCCAUUGUAGUUGUUUGUGACACUCUGUAAUCGCCAUGGACACCAUAAAUAUCAGCAACAUUGGAAGUGUCAGCGUUGCAGGUGUAGUGCUCCUCUUGACGAGUGGUUCUUGAUCCCAUCGUCUGUCCCUCAGUUGUUCUGGAGUUGGCUUCGGUCUGCCAACGAAGAAUUUCUGUAGAAAACUCGCACCUAGACUCAGUUUUUGCAGAUAUGCUACUUAUAUCUGGUAUUACUUUUCGCGAUGGUACCCACAGAAUUUCCCAGAUUCAUGAUAUUUAACUGCUGCAUACCCGACCACGGAUACCCUUUAGCAAGCCCUUCCUGUGAUCAGGAGGCCCUGACUGGCCUCCCCCACAGGGGCAUUGUGCUCUAACAUGGCCAUACUGGCCGUAUCGGAAACACAGCCCUUGCUGCUGCAGCGAUCUUUGCUGUCGCAGGCCAACAGCUACGACAAUAGCUGUGACUAGCCUUUCAUUAGUUAAAUGAGCCACCUUGAGCUUAUCUAAGACAUACUGAAUAACUUCUCCCUGGAUAUUAAGCGUACUUCGGCCGGCUCCCGAGGUAUUAAGCGUACUUCGGCCAGCUCGCAGCAAUGCCUUAACAUUGUCAUGCGAUUUCUGCUGCAAGCAGUCAAUGAUCACUGGCCCUUGGGCCGGUACCAGGAGAUCAGACCCCUCUGCAGCAGCUAAAAGCCUGUCUGUAAAGCUUUGAAAGGAUUCAUUCGGGCCCUGGGUAAUAUCUGUGCACGGAGUAGGUGGUUCGGCCUUAUGCACAAGUUUAUUAAACGCUUCCACCACUGCAUCUGUGGCUGCUAUUAGCUCCCCUGGCCUUAGUCUCGCUAGCUGGCCCUGGGGCGAAGCCACUCCCACGGCCUUCCCUGAAAGCCGCUGUAUUCCGGUCCCAUGCAGGGAGCGGCGCGGGCCGACCCCUGUCGCCCCGGCACGGCCCCCCAACUCGGCCACCCAGUCCGUCUCCCAUAACGUAUAUUGAACCAGCCUGAGCACCAUACGCAUUAAGUUUGUGAUGUCACGGGGGAAGAGAGGCCCCAGUGCAGCCAAAGUUUGUAGUGCAUUUAAUGUCAGAGGCGAUUUCAGGCCUCUUUUAUCCAUAAAUUCCACCAGGCGCGUAACACCCCCGGGGUCAGGCGGCACCCAUUCGGGACCACGAUCACUCACAAUCACCUGGAAUGCCUCUGGAACUAUACCCUUUCCCAAAGCCUCCGAUCUAAUCCCAUUCCAGUCCGUCAUUUGAUCCCUCCCCCUGCACUCAAAGCCAGUCCCUUCUUUCUCUUCUACACUAUCACUCGCACUACCGCCCCUGGGAGUGACCAGAGACAGUAGGCUAUGCCCCCUGUCCGCAUUGGACGGACCUUUUGUCUGGUCCCUCCCCAUGUGGGCACUAAGUUGAUCCUGCCCAUGUAGAUCACAGCUUCCUCCGCCCCCUUGAGUCAGGUAACACUGACGUAAUUCUGAUAAAGGAUACAACGUUCCGCCUGAGGGGUUCGGAUACGGGGGAGGGGGACGAGACAACAAACUUUCACUCUCUUGUUGUUUGUCUUCUUUUGAACUGAGCGCGGUCGGCUCAGCCGGCACCAUCCCGCCAACGGUCAUUGGCGGCUCCGUCUCCUCUCGGCCCCUGCAAGAAACUGCUCCCGAACCCCCAUCGGACCCGACCGGGUCCUGUGUCUCACCUCCUCCGCUGAGACCCAAAAGGGAGAGGCCUGUCCCGUACAUCCCGUGCCCCCGCAAGACGCCUACUACAACAGUAACCAUUACCUUGGGC
ensembl:lncRNA